rnacentral:rRNA from 1 species
GAUGAACGCUGGCGGCGUGCCUAAUACAUGCAAGUCGAGCGAACAGACGAGGAGCUUGCUCCUCUGACGUUAGCGGCGGACGGGUGAGUAACACGUGGAUAACCUACCUAUAAGACUGGGAUAACUUCGGGAAACCGGAGCUAAUACCGGAUAAUAUAUUGAACCGCAUGGUUCAAUAGUUAAAGACGGUUUUGCUGUCUCUUAUAGAUGGAUCCGCGCCGCAUUAGCUAGUUGGUAAGGUAACGGCUUACCAAGGCAACGAUGCGUAGCCGACCUGAGAGGGUGAUCGGCCACACUGGAACUGAGACACGGUCCAGACUCCUACGGGAGGCAGCAGUAGGGAAUCUUCCGCAAUGGGCGAAAGCCUGACGGAGCAACGCUGCGUGAGUGAUGAAGGUCUUCGGAUCGUAAAACUCUGUUAUUAGGGAAGAACAAAUGUGUAAGUAACUAUGCACGUCUUGACGGUACCUAAUCAGAAAGCCACGGCUAACUACGUG